rnacentral:rRNA from 1 species
UACGGAGGGAGCUAGCGUUAUUCGGAAUUACUGGGCGUAAAGCGCACGUAGGCGGCUUUGUAAGUAAGAGGUGAAAGCCCAGAGCUCAACUCUGGAAUUGCCUUUAAGACUGCAUCGCUAGAAUUGUGGAGAGGUAAGUGGAAUUCCGAGUGUAGAGGUGAAAUUCGUAGAUAUUCGGAAGAACACCAGUGGCGAAGGCGACUUACUGGACACAUAUUGACGCUGAGGUGCGAAAGCGUGGGGAGCAAACAGG